rnacentral:rRNA from 1 species
GACGAACGCUGGCGGCGUGCUUAACACAUGCAAGUCGAACGGAAAGGCCCUGCUUUUGUGGGGUGCUCGAGUGGCGAACGGGUGAGGAACAGGUGAGUAACCGGCCCUUGACUUUGGGAUAACUUCAGGAAACUGGGGCUAAUACCGUAUAGGAUCUCCUGCUGGAGGGAGGGGGGUGGAAAGUUUCGGCGGUUGGGGAUGGACUCGCGGCUUAUCAGCUUGUUGGUUGGGUAGUGGCUUACCAAGGCUUUGACGGGUAGCCGGCCUGAGAGGGUGACCGGCCACAUUGGGACUGAGAUACGGCCCAGACUCGUACGGGAGGCAGCAGUGGGGAAUAUUGCACAAUGGGCGGAAGCCUGAUGCAGAAACGCCGCGUGCGGGAUGACGGCCUUCGGGUUGUAAACCGCUUUCGCCUGUGACGAAGCGUGAGUGACGGUAAUGGGUAAAGAAGCACCGGCUAACUACGUG